rnacentral:misc_RNA from 1 species
AAAGUCGUAACAAGGUUUCCGUAGGUGAACCUGCGGAAGGAUCAUUAGCAGAUUUUGUGGUUGUGGUGGGUUGGUGGUUUGUAAUGACUGCCAACAAUACCACACAUUUGCGCUUGUUUUGUUUCACAGAGUAAAAAUGCAAACCAAUUACACACAACUUUUAACAAUGGAUCUCUGGGCUCUU